UACGGAGGGUGCAAGCGUUAAUCGGAAUUACUGGGCGUAAAGCGCACGCAGGUGGCUGAGAUAGUCGAUUGUGAAAGCCCUGGGCUUAACCUGGGAAUUGCAGUCGAUACUACUCGGCUAGAGUAUGGGAGAGGGCAGUGGAAUUCCCGGUGUAGCGGUGAAAUGCGUAGAUAUCGGGAGGAACAUCAGUGGCGAAGGCGGCUGCCUGGCCCAAUACUGACACUCAGGUGCGACAGCGUGGGGAGCAAACAGG
rnacentral:rRNA from 1 species